rnacentral:lncRNA from 1 species
UAGCCUGUGUGAAUUCUACUGCCUGUGUGGUUGACAGAAGGCAAUCUCUCCUCUCAGCUCGCUUUAAUUGAGACAUAAGCCACACCCAUGCCUGAAGAACAAGGAGAAAAUAGUACCAAUUUCUAUUUGGUCUAGCAGAGAUUUUAACCCUGUAUUCCCAACUUCUAGAAUGUUCUCUGGCAAAUAAAAGGUACUGAAUAAUUUCAUAAUUGUCAAAUACAUGACUGAAUGAAUGACACACACAUUCCUGAUUUCUAACAAAAAUUGAAAUGCUUUUAUCCCAAAUACAACAGCUUGUUUUCCAGAAUUACGGAAGAUUUGCAGCUUACUGCACCCAACGAAGUAGAAUCUGAGUUUCAAGCCUACAGGGAAGGGAGGAAUGGGAGAAAGCACAGAGAUGCUAGGGAAAACAACAAAUCAUCACAAAGGAAGCCAAAGAACUGGAGGCCUCACAGAAGAGAGGGCCUUACAAGGGCAUCAUAAAUCAACCCCAAACUGGAGGAAUGCUAAUUGAUAUCAGGUGAUUUCAAAAAUGAAGGCUAGGUUAAACUUGCUGUGUGUUUCAUGAAUUCUAAUUCUUAUGGAACUCUUUCAAAACCAAGAUGUGCAAGAAAUUAUUCAUCUUCCAAGAUUAAUUAGAUAAAUGAAGAUUAAUUAAAUAAAUGUGUACACAUUCAAUAUUUUAAAUAUCUAAAAGAAGACUUAAAGAAGGUGUGCGUACAACCUAGCUCAAAUGCCAAAAACGUGGAAGAGAGAGGACAUACACAAUGCAUUGUCAGAUGAUUCAAUGCUUUCUCGGUGAAACAAGGAACAUUCUAUUAACCAUAAUUUGAUCUAAAUAACAUUCUAACCCCCCGUCUGCAUCUUUCUUUGAUUUUCUGGUCUUGCAAGCUAUGUUACAUCUGUGUUGCACAGAAUUCUAGGUUUAAACCAACAGGUGUUACCAAGAAGAGCAAGUACCAUUCCUCAAAGGUUGUUAGAACAAUAACAGUAUUGUACUUUAGAUUUUUCCUAGUGAGUGGGAAAUGGCCUAUAGGCCAGCAUAAACAUUGGCAUGUUGUUUGUGAUCAUCACUGGAUAAGGGGCUCAAGAUAAAGAUCAAUGUUUGAGUAUUGUAUAUUAAUCUGUCUCACAGAAUACUAUACUAUGUAGCAUUUCCCAAUAUAUGUUAUUACAUGUAAGAACACAAAAAAGUUAUAAUAGCUGGGGAUUUUGUGUGUGUGUGUGUGUGCAUGUGUGUACACCAUCAAGUUGUAAGCUCAUGAAUGUUACAGCUUAGGAAGAGGAUAAAUUUCAAAAGUGACUG